rnacentral:rRNA from 1 species
CUAGCGACUUCAGAGUUUGAUCCUGGCUCAGGAUGAACGCUGGCGGCGUGCUUAACACAUGCAAGUCGAACGAAGCAACUUAAGACAAUCCCUUUGGGGUGCGACUUUUGUUGACUGAGUGGCGGACGGGUGAGUAACGCGUGGGUAACCUGCCUUGUACAGGGGGAUAACAGUUAGAAAAUGACUGCUAAUACCGCAUAAGUCGCACAGAACCGCAUGGUUCCGUGUGAAAAACUCCGGUGGUACAAGAUGGACCCGCGUCUGAUUAGCUAGUUGGUGGGGUAACGGCCUACCAAGGCGACGAUCAGUAGCCGACUUGAGAGAGUGAUCGGCCACAUUGGGACUGAGACACGGCCCAA